rnacentral:tRNA from 1 species
GGGGAAGUAGCUCAGUUGGGAGAGCGCGUCGUUCGCAAUGACGAGGUCGGGAGUUCGAUUCUCCUCUUCUCCACCA